rnacentral:rRNA from 1 species
ACGGGUGAGUAACACGUGAGUAACCUGCCCCCUUCUUUGGGAUAACGCCCGGAAACGGGUGCUAAUACUGGAUAUUCACUGAUCUUCGCAUGGGGGUUGGUGGAAAGGUUUUUUCUGGUGGGGGAUGGGCUCGCGGCCUAUCAGCUUGUUGGUGGGGUGAUGGCCUACCAAGGCUUUGACGGGUAGCCGGCCUGAGAGGGUGACCGGUCACAUUGGGACUGAGAUACGGCCCAGACUCCUACGGGAGGCAGCAGUGGGGAAUAUUGCACAAUGGGCGAAAGCCUGAUGCAGCGACGCCGCGUGAGGGAUGGAGGCCUUCGGGUUGUAAACCUCUUUCGCUCAUGGUCAAGCCGCAACAUUGGUUGUGGUGAGGGUAGUGGGUAAAGAAGCGCCGGCUAACUACGUGCCAGCAGCCGCGGUAAUACGUAGGGCGCGAGCGUUGUCCGGAAUUAUUGGGCGUAAAGGGCUUGUAGGCGGUUGGUCGCGUCUGCCGUGAAAUCCUCUGGCUUAACUGGGGGCGUGCGGUGGGUACGGGCUGACUUGAGUGCGGUAGGGGAGACUGGAACUCCUGGUGUAGCGGUGGAAUGCGCAGAUAUCAGGAAGAACACCGGUGGCGAAGGCGGGUCUCUGGGCCGUUACUGACGCUGAGGAGCGAAAGCGUGGGGAGCGAACAGGAUUAGAUACCCUGGUAGUCCACGCUGUAAACG